GAGACGAAAAUAUGGCUGUCUUCACGAGAGUUGCCGAUUUUCUUCAAAAAUCAAUCGCCUUUACUUGUGCAGUGGGAUGUAUUUACAUCUUAGCUAUAUCUGGAAGGAACUAUUUAAUAAUACGUAAGAGGAGACUCGCGAAUGCGGCCGCAAUUGAAGCCGAAAAAACAACUGAUGUACCUUCAUCGUCGUAGACGGAAUGCUUCUACAUUCAAUCUUAUAGGGAUCAAGCCUAACAAUUUGUAGAAAAAAACUUGUUGGUGGUGAGGAAUGGAGCUGGUGGAGCUGUGGAUGAAAGUAAAAUUCUCAGACAAAGGUUACUUUUCUGACGCAGAAAGAAAAUAUUGUUCUUUUGAUGCCUACUCUGCCAAGGAACAUGCUAAAUAUUUGUGCAUUCUUGGUGAACUUGAAAUUGCUGUCAAAAGUGACGUACAUUUUUCUCUAUUGAUAUUCAGGAUUUGGUAGUUCACCCGCAGAAUGACCUAUUGUUCACAAUCUGUUUUCACCUUGUUGAGGGUUGCACUGAAAAGAACUGUUUUUCAGUGAACCAAGGUGACGCCGCAAAACUGUCUGAAAAGUGUAACCCUUGUUUUAUUUCAUUGUGAACAAUAGUGUGAGUACAUAUGUUACUAAAAAGAGCAUUUCAUUGGUUUUUGUUUAAAAAUUUCCGGAAACAUGUUCAUAGAUGUACCAAGAAUUACCUUUUUUUACACAUGGGUUACCUAGCCAUCAGAAAUUGAGAAUUUUGUAAUGUAUAUAGUUGAACUGGUAAUAAAGGACAUUACAUGAACUUUAAA